UUACAGUAAUCACACUUUUGUUAGUCUGUUAGGAUUUACCAUAUAUUUCUUUUUCCAUUAUUAUGUUCUUCCCAUCCACAGAGAACUCUAUAAAUAAGAGUUCUCCCUUUGAUGUAAACACACAUAAACAUACAAUAAUAACACAGAUUUAGUUUUAUGCAGUUACCUUCGCUUCUCUAUUCUUCUUCUUCUUUCUCGUUUUCUUCUUAUUCUUCUCAGAUCUUCAUCAUCCUUCGAACCCCUUUCGAUCUCCCUUCAGAAGCCUUCACGCAACUAUCCAUACUCCAUCCUUGAAGAAGAACGCUAUUAGUUUGCUGGAGAAUCACCCAGAAGAAGCUUCGGUCCUUCUCUCUGCCAAGGGAUAGCUUCAGCCUUAUCCCUGCUCUGCUCCUCACCUACCUCUGACACGUGAGAAGCUUCCAGCAGAAGACUUUCACAAGUGAAAGGCAACAACGGGCAUUUGGGGUAAAAUGUUGGUUGGGCUUUUCUUAUAAGGCUCGGCCCAAUUUCUUUAUUGUCCAAGGGUCGUAGGCGGGAGGUGCUGGUGCUCGUGAACCACCAUUGCAGUUCAAUCGUGCCUUCGCAAAGUUCACUUCCAGUUUGAGAGGACUCCUGUUGUCGACACUUGCCUCGCGAGUUAGAUUGAGGUUGACGUGAAUUCAUCAGAUUGAUUAGAAGUUGUUGGACCAACUUUAGGCAUUAGAAAUUGGCAGAUUUUGGAGUCUGGUGCAGCAACUUGUUUCUAGAAGGAGGCUGGACGUUGAACCAGUUUUUGGCUUGCAGGUUUUUGGUGCAGUUUUAGCACUGUUGGAGCAACCAAAGGUCUUAAAUGGAACUGGAAAAGUGCUUCAUGAUGUUGCUUGAACUUGGAUAGUCUUUAUUAUUAGUUCUCAUUUACAUUUGCUCUUCCAUUGUCAGGUGUUUUCUUAUGUAGAAGUAGAAUUUAAAUGUUUUUUCUCUGUACUGAAGUGUAAGAACUUGUAAUGUUGUAGUGUUGUGAUAACAAGUAUCUUAUGUAAAAGACUACAAACAUAUUAUGCAAUAUUAUUUGAUUAUAUCUC